ensembl:snRNA U2 U2 spliceosomal RNA
UUUGCUUCUCGGCCUUGGCUGAGAUCAAGUGUAGUACCUUUUCUUAUCAGUUUAAUAUCUGAUAUGUCCUCUAUAUGAGCUGGUAUUGCAGUACCUCCGGGAAUGGUGCACCUCCU